CAUCGCUCAGGGGCAGGCGUCGUCUGCAACCUACGAUAAGAACAUACCCGACGCGGUGAAGGAUCGAGGGCCAAGUGCUGGCCCUGACCCUGGCGGGGACAAAUCUGAUUCCAAGACCAAUCCAGUAAGGUUGAGAAAUGCCCCGGGGGCCCCAGGCCCAGGAGUCUUUGCCUCUUCCGUCAUCCGAGGUGGAUUUCGUUUCUUUUCCCCCCCGCACGAGUCCCAGCAGCGAACCAGGAGAUUUAGUUUCGCAGGAACUUUCCCGUUGACUUCUUGGUUUGAAAGUUGAAGCCCCAGGGGAGUAAGGCGGGCCACAAACAUCUCAAAACCCCGCUAAUCCUAGACAAAAUAAAAAUACAAUAGGCCACAGACUAACCAACUUCGGGCCCUUUCCGCGGCGGUCUCCUGGCCGGGCGCACAAGGAGCUGCGCAACCCGCCAGAAGGGAACCGUUCUCACUCCAGUUCCCCACCUGUGGGAAGACCUCAGGAAGGUCUUAGAACCCGGUCUCCUCUCUACUGCCUACUCACGUCCCCGAAACAAGUAUAAAAACAACACCGAAUCCGCGGUACCCACAGCUCCGAGAGAGGGGGCCAAGAAGCCCCGGAGGCUUGCCUUGAGGCCGAGCUCCGAGCUCCAGGACAUAGGGUCUCCCUGGGAGACGAAACCCAGCUGGAGAACUCGCGGCCUGGGAGCCCCGGGCCCCCACUCGCGAGACUACUCGCUGGGCGCGAUGGAUGCAUUUCCUAAGCCUCACGCCGGAUAGCUGGGAGGCAGGCAGAAGAUCAAGGCUCUAGCACGAUGGAAUCUUAAAGAAAAAAAUAAAUAAAUGUGAAGCAAACCAAACUUCAAGCCUGCAGGUCCCCGCGGAAAGUGAGGUGGAGACGAAGGGGGCGGGAACGGCGGAGGCACAGUGAGUGGGGGAUGCGGCAAGAAUUCCGUUCCCUGCAGAGUCGAUGCCUUAGGGGGCUCCACCACCUCGAGCUCCCUCCCACCCACAAGAUGUCAACGUCUCCUAGGAAGGAUUCCUGCCUCAUGAACUCAAGCUUGAGAUGCUUCCUCUACAAAGACUGAAGCUGAAUUUUAGAAGAUGCCUCAGUCAUUUUUGGUGGUCUUCAGGACACAUCGAAGAACUCUCCUAUCAUGAAAGGGAGAGAAUGAAAUGCUCAUGAGCCUCCAUCAGGAAAGCUAGAAAUCUCCCAAAUCCCAUGACUCUGAUUUUCAGGUCAGAGAGUAAGGUUUUAUGUUUAGUAUUUUUUUAUACUUUGCAUAUAGAGAGUCCCUGAAGAGGCACGUGAUGCACUGACUAUUUUGUGAGGCCAGUUUGGGUGAGGCCAGGACUCAGGUGCAGCCGCGAGUACUCAAUGGCACCUGCAUAGCGAUUUGUGGGACCCAUGUCAGCUCCUACUACUUUCUGACAAAUAGCACCCUCCCCCUCCCUGGAGUUGGAGAGCAGGGCUCCUCUUUUGGGCUGAGCCAAUCCCAGGAUGCAUAAGGGGUUGGGGUAGUGCCCCAGUAUUUAAGAAGAUUAAAAUUCUAUAUGUGGCACUUCUGAUUUAAUUCCUAAAUGGCAGCUGCCUUAAGCAUGUGGGAAAUCAGGAGCCUUGCUAAAAAUGUAAACUUAAAAGACCAUUAAUUUAAGAGUAAUGAAAACUAUGUCCACAUAAAAACUUGGUCAAUGAAUGUUUAUAGCAACAUUAUUCAUAAUAGUCCCAAAGGGGAGACUAUCC